rnacentral:tRNA from 1 species
UUUGGUGUUAUUUGAGUUAAAUAUGAUUGGACUUAAAAUCCAAUGUUCAUUAGGACGUACGGGUUCAAGUCCCGUCUUCAGUA